GAAAGGCAGAAGCCUCAAGCUGUGCCCAACUGGGCAGAGGGAUCCUCCUCCUCUCAUCACUGGUGAGCUCUCAAGAAAUGACCAUUGGCUCCACUGUGAUGGAUAUACAACCCUAUGGACAUCAGUCUUCAUAUUUGGUGAAUUCAAGAUGCAAGGUCCUCUAUAGGAACCAGCUGUUAUCCAUAAGCUGAAUUGCUGGAGACAUUCUGCUUUCCUCUUCUAAUGAGGUGCAUUAGUCAAGAGCUGAAAGACCUUUGACCCUAGGAUCAAGUGGCUACCCUGCAGGGACGGAGCUCAGUGUAUGGGAUUAUGAGUUGACAGGAGACAGCUGGAAGAAAUACCUGAGAAUUCACACUUAAAGUAAUCCCUGAAAAUUGAAGGACAAGAAACAGCCCUUUUCAAAGCAUUUAAAAUCCUGUCAGGAGAGACUCCAGCAUGAAUUGAAUUUCUUGUUGAUGGACAGAGUAAAAACACAGCCAAAAGAAUUUUCAUCGUGACCUAAUAAUUAGUCAUGACAAACACCUUCAAGAGUCUUGAACUUCCUGGUAUUUUAAUUAAAAUGAGUGUGUUUUCUUUAUUCCAAUGUGCCUGCAAUCAAAAUUUAGUGCCAGUCUUAAUUUA